rnacentral:rRNA from 1 species
GUCUGGCAUCGAUGAAGAACGCAGCGAAAUGCGAUAAGUAAUGUGAAUUGCAGAAUUCAGUGAAUCAUCGAAUCUUUGAACGCACAUUGCGCCCCUUGGUAUUCCGAGGGGGCAUGCCUGUUCGAGCGUCAUUUCAACCCUCAAGCACAGCUUGGUCUUGGGCCGCGCCGCUAACCCGGCGGGUCUUAAAAUCAGUGGCGGUGCCGUCGGGCCCUGAGCGUAGUACAUCUCCUCGCUAUAGGGGUCCCGGCGGAUGCUGGCCAGCAACCCCCAAUCUUCUAUGGUUGACCUCGGAUCAGGUAGGGAUACCCGCUGAACUUAA